GACGAACGCUGGCGGCGUGCUUAACACAUGCCAGUCGAACGGAAAGGCCCUGCUUUUGUGGGGUGCUCGAGUGGCGAACGGGUGAGUAACACGUGAGUAACCUGCCCUUGACUUUGGGAUAACUUCAGGAAACUGGGGCUAAUACCGGAUAGGAGCUCCUGCUGCAUGGUGGGGGUUGGAAAGUUUCGGCGGUUGGGGAUGGACUCGCGGCUUAUCAGCUUGUUGGUGGGGUAGUGGCUUACCAAGGCUUUGACGGGUAGCCGGCCUGAGAGGGUGACCGGCCACAUUGGGACUGAGAUACGGCCCAGACUCCUACGGGAGGCAGCAGUGGGGAAUAUUGCACAAUGGGCGGAAGCCUGAUGCAGCAACGCCGCGUGCGGGAUGACGGCCUUCGGGUUGGAAACCGCUUUCGCCUGUGACGAAGCGUGAGUGACGGUAAUGGGUAAAGAAGCACCGGCUAACUACGUGC
rnacentral:rRNA from 1 species